ACAUCUCACGACCACGUCUCUUUAGCUGCAGCCAGACUGGUGAGAUGUGUGUGAACUUGCUCCCAAAGACCUUGGCAACAUCAUAGCCGUGGCUGUUCCACUGGCAGAAGAGAGAGAGCGGAAACAAAGAACAGCAUUUCUCCUACAGUCGCAUAGUAGCAGCACCUGCGGAGAAAACACCAGCCAGGAGGACAGCCCUGUUCUACACCACAGAACCCUGACUUACUGGAGUGACAUAGCCUAGGAUGUCUCCAGCAAAGUUUCUCUCCCGAGCCCUUGCUGAACAGUAGCUACGAUGUUCAAGAACCACAUCCUCAGCUUUGACGUCCGUCACCACCAGACCCCGAUCUUGGACAGGUUUAUCUGAAAAUUGAGUCUGAAACAAAAGGGAGAGAAGAGAGCUAUCUGACAUCUGUUCUCAGCAUGGAAUGUGGCAUCAGAAGCAGCAGUGGCAGCAGUAGGUCUGUUCUGUUCAGACACAGGCCGUGUCUCUGGAUUAACAUGGCAUUGCUCAUCUGACGAUUUUGUGGGUAAAGGAUUAGGGCCACAGUGAUGACUUAUUUCAGAAGGGCUCUGGCACUCAGUGAGCACAGCAGCCAUUUUCUGGGGGCUAUUAAACCCUUAAUUUGAGCUAGAGAUCUGGUAGGAGGCUAUAGUGACUCCUCAGACCACUGGGCAUCUAGGCACCCUAUGUCCAAACACUGAAGAUGUGUCAAGCAUAUGCCAUCCCAUGGGUCAAGCCCUAUCUGAGUCUCCCAAUCUGGAUGCUAUUACACCUGCCUCUACCCCACCUCUGCUCCUAGAAGUCUUCCAUCAGAUUCUCACCUUGCCAGUUCUAUCCACACUUUGGGGGUUCAUUGCAGCCUUCCCUGAUAGUGUUUGACUCCCUGUGAGACAGUGUUUUAGGGCUUCUAUUGCUGUGAUGAAACACCAUGAACCAAGAUACUUGGGGAGGAAAGGGUUUAUUUAGUUUAUACUUCCAUAUCAUUGUUCAUCUCUGAAGGAAGUCAGAACAGGAACACAAACAGGGCAGGAACCCAGAGGCAGGAGUGUAGCAGUAUCCAGCUGGCCUGGUACUGCAGUAAGAGCAACUAGCCCUAACCACACACUUAACCUAGCUCCAGAGAGCUAGCACCUAGCAUAAUCCAUUCUUUGACCUACUGGAUACCUUUUGUCGCCUUGUGUGAACCUUGUUUGGGAGUUUCCCAAGGAUACGAAGUCUAUACAAAACUUGGUUCAGGAAACCUGGAAAAUUGUGGUACCUGAUGAAUCCAGUCUUUGCACAUGGCACUGUCUUUUUGGAAGCCUCAUUCAAGUUGUUCUGAGCAUAAAGUAAUCAUUUGCAAAAGUAUAAAUAUUGAGAAAUAUAAAAAUGCCUUGGGCAUAGGGAAUGUACUUUAGUUACUCAAAAAUGAGGUCCCCUGUAGCCACAACAGCUAAAUUCAUUCUUAAA